ACUAAUAUUUGUGAAUGAAUGAAUGAACAGAGAGAGGAGUUUUCUUUCCACAGUUUCCUUCUACCUGCUACUCCUUGAGCAUAUGAGGCUGGAAUCUAAGCCCUGAGGUCACUCACUGCUCUCCUGGGUACUAUCCCUGGCCUCCCGUCCUUUUCCUUGAGCUUCUGUGCUCUGCAAGGCUUUCUCAUUAUCCUUUAGGCUACAGAGAAACAAGGAGACGGGAGAGCCUUGAAAUGGACCUUCAAGAUUACAAUGUGUAGCUGACAUUGUCAGUUAAGUUGGGCAGAUCUGACUUCGCUGAUUAAGUGGAUGUAUGAGCCGAUCCUCCCCAGAAGCUGGGAUCAGCUUCCCCAUCUGAUGAUCUUGGACAUGAUACCUGGAUGUGCAGCAGCCAUCUGGUAAUUAUGAGGUGACAAGUCAAUAGACUGAGAUGGUGGAGCAGCAAAGAUAGAAAAGAAGGACAGAAUAACGGGCUCCCAGAUUCACAAGCCCCACCAAGAGGAUCACCCCAGGAACGCUUGGAGGCUGAGGAGUUCACUGAGGCUACUGCAUCUUGAGACUCAGGAUGAAGACCCAGCUUGGGGCUGUCAAAGGUUUUUUGCAUGUCUGACACCCAUGACUCCACCUGGACCUUAUGGCUCCACCCAGAAGCAAUUCAGCCCAACAGGAGGACAGCUUCAACCCAUUACGAUUUCAUCUCUGCCCCAACCACUCAGCAGCAAGCACCUGUUACCUGUCCACCCCCACCCCUUCCCCCAAACUGCCUUUGAAAAAUCCCUAACCUAUGAGCUUUGAAUAAGAUGAGUACGAACUUCAUCGCCCACGUGGCGUGGCCGGCCUCGUGUCUAUUAAAUUCUUUUUCUACUACAA
ensembl:lncRNA PVT1 Pvt1 oncogene